rnacentral:tRNA from 1 species
GGGACUUUAGCUCAGUUGGUUAGAGCACGCCGCUCAUAACGGUGCGGUCGUAGGUUCAAGUCCUACAAGUCCCACCA